rnacentral:rRNA from 1 species
UGGCGGGGGAGCACCACAAGGGGUGAAGCCUGCGGUUCAAUUGGAGUCAACGCCAGAAAUCUUACCCGGAGAGACAGCAGAAUGAAGGUCAAGCUGAAGACUUUACCAGACAAGCUGAGAGGUGGUGCAUGGCCGUCGCCAGCUCGUGCCGUGAGAUGUCCUGUUAAGUCAGGUAACGAGCGAGAUCCCUGCCGCUAGUUGCUAUCAUUAUUCUCAGGAAUAGUGGAGCGAAUUAGUGGGACUGCCGUUGUUAAAACGGAGGAAGGAAGGGGCUACGGCAGGUCAGUAUGCCCCGAAACUCUGGGGCCACACGCGGGCUGCAAUGGUAGUGACAAUGAGUUCCAAACUCGAAAGAGAGUGGCAAUCUCUAAACGCUACCACAGUUAUGACUGAGGGCUGUAACUCGCCCUCACGAAUAUGGAAUCCCUAGUAACCGCGUGUCAUUACCGCGCGGUGAAUACGUCCCUGCUCCUUGCACACACCGCCAAAGGGCGAAUUCGUUUA